GAUGAACGCUGGCGGCGUGCCUAAUACAUGCAAGUCGAACGCACAGCGAAAGGUGCUUGCACCUUUCAAGUGAGUGGCGAACGGGUGAGUAACACGUGUACAACCUGCCUCAAGGCUGGGGAUAACAUUUGGAAACAGAUGCUAAUACCGAAUAAAACUUAGUGUCGCAUGACACAAAGUUAAAAGGCGCUUCGGCGUCACCUAGAGAUGGAUCCGCGGUGCAUUAGUUAGUUGGUGGGGUAAAGGCCUACCAAGACAAUGAUGCAUAGCCGAGUUGAGAGAGGGACGGGCCCAUUGGGACUGAGACACGGCCCAAACUCCUACGGGAGGCUGCAGUAGGGAAUCUUCCACAAUGGGCGAAAGCCUGAUGGAGCAACGCCGCGUGUGUGAUGAAGGCUUUCGGGUCGUAAAGCACUGUUGUAUGGGAAGAACAGCUAGAAUAGGAAAUGAUUUUAGUUUGACGGUACCAUACCAGAAAGGGACGGCUAAAUACGUG
rnacentral:rRNA from 1 species